UGUACCUACCAUCUCAUGCUGAGAGCUUGGCUGAUCUCAUGGACAAAGCAGGAUCAAGCUGGGUUUGUACUUUGAUGGGAGCCAUCCAGGGAAAACCCAGGGUGCUGUGG
rnacentral:rRNA from 1 species